GGGCGCAGGGGGACUGGGGGUGAGCAGGCACAGACCCCAGCUCGUGCUCACUCUCGGUCUCUCCCUAG
ensembl:miRNA